AGAAUCAACGCUGGCGGCGUGCCUAACACAUGCAAGUCGAACGAGAAAGUGGAGCAAUCCAUGAGUAAAGUGGCGUACGGGUGAGUAACACGUGACUAACCUACCCUCGAGUGGGGAAUAACCUCGGGAAACCGGGGCUAAUACCGCAUAAUAUCUUCGGAUCAAAUGCGUAAGCAGCUUGAGGAGGGGGUCGCGGCCGAUUAGCUAGUUGGCGGGGUAAUGGCCCACCAAGGCAAUGAUCGGUAGCCGGCCUGAGAGGGGCGCGACGGACGACCGACUAGGUAACGUGAACACGGUCCAGACUCCUACGGGAGGCAGCAGUGGGGAAUUUUGCGCAAUGGGGGAAACCCUGACGCAGCAACGCCGCGUGGAGGAUGAAGCCCCUUGGGGUGUAAACUCCUUUCGAUCGGGACGAUUAUGACGGUACCGGAUGAAGAAGCACCGGCUAACGUCUGUGCCAGCAGCCGC
rnacentral:rRNA from 1 species